UACGUAGGGGGCAAGCGUUAUCCGGAUUUACUGGGUGUAAAGGGAGCGUAGACGGUAUGGCAAGUCUGAAGUGAAAGCCCAGGGCUUAACCCUGGGACUGCUUUGGAGACUGUUAGACUAGAGUGCUGGAGAGGUAAGUGGAAUUCCUAGUGUAGCGGUGAAAUGCGUAGAUAUUAGGAGGAACACCAGUGGCGAAGGCGGCUUACUGGACAGUAACUGACGUUGAGGCUCGAAAGCGUGGGGAGCAAACAGG
rnacentral:rRNA from 1 species